ACCUGGACACGAAAGGCUCUGACUGCUCUCCCCAGUACUCCUUCCAGCUGCAGGAGAGGGGGUACAAUUUCAGGUAUGGCCCUUACUGCUGUAUUGGCUGCUGUUCCUGGUCUAGUCCCCCACCCCCAUCCCUAUUUCCCUGUGACCACCAGAACAGAGCAUACCCGGAUCAGACUCAGUGUCUCUGCUGUGUGCACAAGCAUCCUGGGCUGUUUCCAGUCCACAAGUUCCACCUCCCUUCCCUCACUUGCCUGCUCCUCACCUGCAGAUCGUCUCAGAGCCUCCCCCAGACAACCCUGUUUCCCUAGAACCAAAGACACUUUUCAUUUUUAAUUUCCCUAUGGGACUUUAUCUAAAAAAUUUCCUAAAAAAUUUUGUGGAAAAGUUCAGAUGAGUAAAACAAAUAUUCGUGU
rnacentral:lncRNA from 1 species